rnacentral:tRNA from 1 species
GUCCGUGUGGUGUAAUGGACAACACGUCUGCUUCCCAGGCAGAUGAUUCGGGUUCAAUUCCCGGUACGGACU